UACCAAUAAGCACAUAUUUACUAAUUUAUUAAUAAGAUAAAUUAGAUUUUUUUUUCUUAUCUCUCUACACAAACACCUUAAAUCUUAAUCUUCUUCUUCUCAACAAUACAAUUACUAUCAUCUCUUUCAAUCUUUUUUCCCAUUUACUUUGCAUUGGAAUCACUGCAGAAUCAAUUAUAAAAGCCCUAAACCCAUUAAAUCUUUCAUGAGAUUAAAUAUUGUGGUUACUCCGAAUAAUAUGUGCAAAAUAUAAUGCUUGUUUGAAUACACUUGAUAUUUUGACUCAAUGCCAUGUUAGAUUGUUGACCAUUUCAAAUGCGGAAGGCCUAUCGCAUGUAGAAAAGAGUGCAAUGAUUUGCUUCAUGCCGUUAACCCAAGGGUUGUGUAAAGCAGCACUCUUUUUAAGUGUUUGUAUUAUACCACAACUAUUAACCUUUUGAAAUUAGGGGUCAGCCUGCAAUGCACCGCUGUAUCUCAUACAGCCU
rnacentral:lncRNA from 1 species